rnacentral:tRNA from 1 species
GGCCUCUGCUCAGUUGGUUAGAGCGCUGCACCGGAAUCGCAUGGCCGUAGGUUCAAUUCCUACCAGAGGACC